UUUGAACAGAGUUAUAUGGCAGUGUAGAUCCAGCCUGAGUUGCUUUUGGUUCUCUUUGCAGGAUGCAAGUGAAGACUCCAUACCCUCCGACUGUUGAAAUAAGAAACCUAGCCAAUGAUUCAUUGGAGAUCCAUUUAAUGGUGGUGUUUGGCAUCCAUUUCAAAUUUUCCUCUGAAAUGUUGAGCAACUCAGUUGAGAUUCAAGUAGCAAAGAACUUCUCAGUUUCCCUCUUCAAGACCAGUCAAGGCUUCAAGUUUAAGAGCUGCAGUUCUUGCAAAGGAUUCCUGAUUGUUCAAACCCUGGACAAAGGGGCCAAUGUUUCCAAGGAGGGGGCCACACCAAUGGUACGAACAACCCUGAAG
rnacentral:lncRNA from 11 species